rnacentral:rRNA from 1 species
AACACAUGCAAGUCGAACGGUAACAUUUCUAGCUUGCUAGAAGAUGACGAGUGGCGGACGGGUGAGUAAUGCUUGGGAACUUGCCUUUGCGAGGGGGAUAACAGUUGGAAACGACUGCUAAUACCGCAUAAUGUCUUCGGACCAAACGGGGCUUCGGCUCCGGCGCAAAGAGAGGCCCAAGUGAGAUUAGCUAGUUGGUAAGGUAACGGCUUACCAAGGCGACGAUCUCUAGCUGUUCUGAGAGGAAGAUCAGCCACACUGGGACUGAGACACGGCCCAGACUCCUACGGGAGGCAGCAGUGGGGAAUAUUGCACAAUGGGGGAAACCCUGAUGCAGCCAUGCCGCGUGUGUGAAGAAGGCCUUCGGGUUGUAAAGCACUUUCAGUUGUGAGGAAAAGUUAGUAGUUAAUACCUGCUAGCCGUGACGUUAACAACAGAAGAAGCACCGGCUAACUCCGUGCCAGCAGCCGCGGUAAUACGGAGGGUGCGAGCGUUAAUCGGAAUUACUGGGCGUAAAGCGCACGCA